CCACAAAUUAAAUUAAUAUUAUUAACUAAAAAAAAAAAAGGAAACAGUGUCUGUUUUGGCUCUAUCUCUGUUCUCCAUGUUUUAGCUACAGUUAGGCAUUUAAAUUACAUGAUUAAAUCACUGUCAUAAUGAACUCAUCAAAUUCCAUUUCUUUUAUGUUUGCAAACAAGUCCGUAUAAAUAAUAUCUGUAUAUGGUCAGCUUCACAACUCUAUUUAGCUAAAAAGUUCUAAGAACCAAGGUUUUUAAAAAGCUCUGGGAGAUGUGCAUUUGUCAGCUUAGUCCUCCUGCUGAUCGUAUCCUUCUUCUUCUUCUUGAUCUUUGGCUUGGAGGAAAUGCCUUGCACCUGUGCCGCAGCCCUCCUCUUUGCUGUGUUUGUGGCAGGUUUCAUGCCAUUCUUCUGUAGAUCCUUCUCAAUGUCAAGCAUAUCACGAGGCAAUUCAAUCCCCCGAAAGAGCUGCUUAAGGUCAUCAUCCACCUUGAUAACUGCCCUGGGGUCAUUUGGGUAUGC
rnacentral:misc_RNA from 1 species